rnacentral:rRNA from 1 species
AGUGAACGCUGGCGGUAGGCCUAACACAUGCAAGUCGAACGGCAGCACAGUAAGAGCUUGCUCUUACGGGUGGCGAGUGGCGGACGGGUGAGGAAUACAUCGGAAUCUACUUUUUCUUGGGGGAUAACGUAGGGAAACUUACGCUAAUACCGCAUACGACCUAUGGGUGAAAGCAGGGGAUCUUCGGACCUUGCGCGAUUGAAUGAGCCGAUGUCGGAUUAGCUAGUUGGCGGGGUAAAGGCCCACCAAGGCGACGAUCCGUAGCUGGUCUGAGAGGAUGAUCAGCCACACUGGAACUGAGACACGGUCCAGACUCCUACGGGAGGCAGCAGUGGGGAAUAUUGGACAAUGGGCGCAAGCCUGAUCCAGCCAUACCGCGUGGGUGAAGAAGGCCUUCGGGUUGUAAAGCCCUUUUGUUGGGAAAGAAAAGCAGCAGGUUAAUACCCCGCUGUUCUGACGGUACCCAAAGAAUAAGCACCGGCUAACUUCGUG